rnacentral:rRNA from 1 species
GUGGGGAAUCUUGCGCAAUGGGCGAAAGCCUGACGCAGCCAUGCCGCGUGAAUGAUGAAGGUCUUAGGAUUGUAAAAUUCUUUCACCGGGGACGAUAAUGACGGUACCCGGAGAAGAAGCCCCGGCUAACUUCGUGCUAGCAGCCGCGGUAAUACGAAGGGGGCUAGCGUUGCUCGGAAUUACUGGGCGUAAAGGGCGCGUAGGCGGACAGUUUAGUCAGAGGUGAAAGCCCAGGGCUCAACCUUGGAAUUGCCUUUGAUACUGGCUGUCUUGAGUACGGGAGAGGUGAGUGGAACUCCGAGUGUAGAGGUGAAAUUCGUAGAUAUUCGGAAGAACACCAGUGGCGAAGGCGACUCACUGGCCCGUUACUGACGCUGAGGCGCGAAAGCGUGGGGAGCAAACAGGAUUAGAAACCCGUGUAGUCC